UGCGCUUGUGCCAAAGAACAACCUUUUAGGGGGGACCUGGUCUCUCUUUUCACCCUGUGGGUCCUGGGGAUUGAACUCAGGUCAUAAGGUUUAAUGGCAAGUAUCUUUAACCACUGAGUGGUCUUACUGGACCCGUUUCUUUACGUUUCAAACAUGUUUCUUUUAGAUAACAUAGAGUUGAGUCUUGGAUACAAACUGAUAACCUCCACUAUUUAAUGAAUUAAUUACAUUUACCGUGCUUUUGCAAAUAUGGUUAGUUUGAUCACUAUUGUGCUGUAUUUCUGUUGUCCUGUUUGGUCUCUGUCCACCUUUUUUCUCUUUUUUUUUCCUUCUUUGGCUUACUAGUAUAAUUUGGGGGAGGGGUGUUUGUUUUCUGCUUUGGACGAUCAUCUCAUCGUGUAGCACUGACUCGUCUUGGCUCAAGCUCACCAGCCUUGCUCUGCCUCAGCCUCCUGGGUGCCGGGAUCGUUGGUGCACCGCCUUGCUUCUGCACUGCUAACUUUCUCCCUGAUGUGAAAAGCAUGUGACAAAAGCAGCUUCAGGGCUAAGGGGCCUGUUUGGCUCACAGUUCGAGGGUAAGGUCCGUCGUCACCCGUCAUGGCGCGUUGCUGUACACAGAGGCAGGAGCGUCAAACAGCAGCUCCACGGCAUUGCGACAUUCACGGUCAGGAAGCAGAGGGCAUCGAAUGCCUUGCUCUCUAUCGCUUUCUAGUCUGUCCAGGACUCCAGCCCAUGGUUGGUACAGCUCACAUUUAGGGUAGGUUUUCCUUCCUGGAUUAACCUAAUCUAGACAAUCCUUCGUGGACAAGUCCAGAUCUGCCCACCCCCCACCCUGCCCAGAAGUAAACAAAGUACAUAGAAUUGUCACUUGAGAACCCAAAGCUUAAGGCUUUUAGAAAGAUAGGCAUGCUAUCCUCUGACCACACCUAGCAGGCAGGAGUAAUUUGCAGCUCUGUUGUAGAUCUUUUGGUUAGACACCCUUUUUUUUUGGAGUGUGUUUAGGGAACACCUGCUGUCCCCAGGCACCAUUGUAGGCACCGAGGACAUCACUUUUACCAGAGAAGAUUCUGGGAGAAGAAACUCCACAAAUAUGGAAAGGAGCCAACAUCUGAUAAGGACUGAGCAGCCCAAAGUUAGCCUUCUGUACCCUGGAGAGCCUGGGAGUGGCAAAUCUGCCUAAUCCACGAGCCAGAAGACACAGCAGUCCCAACCUGGUGCCGAAGGCCUGGAAGAUCCCUGCUUGUUGCUGGGCUUCAUGAGAAGCUGGACAAUGACUUCAGUGGAGUACGGUGGCGGUGGCAGCAGACACAGCAGCAAGAAGCCAAGGUCUGCAGGUGACUCUACUCUUUCUUCAGACCUCAUUCUAUCCAAGGCUCACCCACUGUGAGGAAGGCUCACCCACUGUGAGGGAGGCUCACCCACUGUGAGGGAGGCUCACCCACUGUGAGGGAGGCUCACCCACUGUGAGGGAGGCUCACCCACUGUGAGGGAGGCUCACCCACUGUGAGGGAGGGUCUUUUCCACUCAGUUGUUUUUGGAAACACCUUCACAGGCUGGCACAGUGGUGUGCCUCCGAGUGUCAUAGCCCAUCACGCUGACGACGAAGUUUAACUAACACAGUGAGCGAUGAUGUUCCUAGCAACUGGAGCUAUGAUUGGGAUUCUCCCUGGGAGUGACAUGGAACUGUUAAAUGGGAGAGGGGACAUUUCAUUUGAGUCCCGGGGAGGGCUAGGAGACUGCAGGUGGGGGAGGGGAGAGAAGACACUCAGGAAUAGUCUACAGACAGGACAACCAGUGGCAGAGGUGAUUCCGAAACCGAGGCUGUAGCGGCCUCUAGCGACAGUAAGGGUUGGGUAGGGUUCUACAAGGACGCAGGACUAGUUGUAAGAGGCUCAUGCUGGAACCAGUUCUUAUGAUCAGUUAAUAGAUGACUGAUCUGUUUGCCUUUAUUCUUUUAAGUUAAUAAAACUGUUGGACAGUGCUCGCUUUUAAUCCCUGCAGUUGGGAGGCAGAGGCAGGAGGAUCUCUGUGAGUUCAAGGCCAGGCUGGUCUACAGAGGGAGUUUUAGGACAGCCAGAGCUACAUGAGACCAGACCCUUUCUCAAAAAAACGCAUGUCUGUGUUUGUAAAUAAACAUAUAUGAUAUA